GACAGAGGGCGCAAGCGUUGUUCGGAAUCAUUGGGCGUAAAGCGGGUGUAGGCGGCUGUGUAAGCGGGACGUGAAAUCCAGCGGCUCAACCGCGGAAUUGCGUUGGAAACUGCCCGGCUUGAGGUCCGGAGAGGGUGGUGGAAUUCCGGGUGGAGAGGUGAAAUGCGUAGAUAUCCAGAGGAACACCAGUGGCGAAGGCGGCCGCCUGGCGGGUUUCUGACGCUGAGGUGCGAAAGCGUGGGGAGCAAACAGG
rnacentral:rRNA from 1 species